rnacentral:lncRNA from 1 species
CCCAGUCAGGCUGCUCGGGGGUCAGGGGUCAGGGACCCACUUGAGGAGGCAGUCUGCCCGUUCUCAGAUCUCCGGCUGCAUGCUGGGAGAACCACUGCUCUCUUCAAAGCUGUCAGAUAGGGACAUUUAAGUCUGCAGAGGUUACUGCUGUCUUUUUGUUUGUCUGUGCCCUGCCCCCAGAGGUGGAGCCUACAGAGGCAGGCAGGCCUCCUUGAGCUGUGGUGGGCUCCACCCAGUUCGAGCUUCCCUGCUGCUUUGUUUACCUAAGCAAGCCUGGGCAAUGGCAGGCGCCCCUCCCCCAGACUCACUGCCGCCUUGCAGUUUGAUCUCAGACUGCUGUGCUAGCAAUCAGCGAGACUCCGUGGGCGUAGGACCCUCCCAGCCAGGUGUGGGAUAUAGUCUCCUGGUGUGCCUUUUUUUAAGCCGGUCAGAAAAGUGCAGUAUUAGGGUGAGAGUGACCCGAUUUUCCAGGUGCCGUCUGUGGCCCCUUUCUUUGACUAGGAAAGGGAACUCCCUGAUCCCUUGCACUUCCCGAGUGAGGUAAUGCCUCGCCCUGCUUUGGCUGGCACACGGUGCGCUGCACCCACUGUCCUGUGCCCACUGUCUGGCACUCCCUAGUGAGAUGAACUCGGUACCUCAGAUGGAAAUGCAGAAAUCACCCGUCUUCUGCGUUGCUCACGCUGGGAGCUGUAGACCAGAGCUGUUCCCAUUCGGCCAUCUUGGCUCCACCUAUCACAUAUGUGUCAAAAAAUAUUUUUUUAAAGGCUGGUACUUGAAAACUUUACUUUAAGAAUGAGGCUGGGUGCGUGGCUCACACCUGUAAUUCUAGCACUUUGGGAGGCCGAGGUGGGUGGAUCACUUGAGGUCAGGAAUUCAAGACCAGCCUGGCCAACAUGGUGAAACCCCCUCUCUAUUAAAAACAUAAAAAUUAGCCAGGCAUGGUGGUGUGCACCUGUAAUCCCAGCUAUUCAGGAGGCUGAGGCACAAAAAUCACUUGAACCCAGGAGGUAGAGAUUGCAGUGAACCAAGGUCGCACCACUGCCCUCCAGACUGCGGUAGAGUGAGAUUCUGUUGAAAAAACAAAAGAAAAAGAACGAAGAGUGUUUUAAACAUUUAAAUGAGUUAAGAGUACUAGACUACCUUAAAAUGCUAAUGCUAUAUAAAGAGCCUGUUUUUUCUAAGGAAUCCUAGUGCUUACUAAACAAUAAACUUCAAAACAUACUGAGAGGUAGGUGGUGUCAUCUGCAUACAGCGCCAACAGGCAGCCCGAGGCAAGGAGAGUUCAAUUCCCUUGCUUGUCUCCCAGGAAGACAGCAACAGAAAUACCUGAAGAUUAGUCAGUGUUUCCCUAGUCCACAUAAUAACAGAAGCAUUUAGCACAAAAUGCUCCUUCUCUGCAAUUUUGGAAAAUCACAAGAUCUGUGACUUCUCAAAUUUAACAGAACAGUACUUACCAUGAAGUGGCGUUUCAUUUUUUAUAGCCCUAUAAAACAUGACAGUUUAUAUUUUUAGAAAGGAUCUGGCAAUUUCCUCCCUCCCCCAAUAAAAAUCAAGUAAUUUUAUGAAGGGCAUUUAAGGAGGAAAUGCCUCCAAUGUAUCUUGCUCUGAUACACUUUUUCUCUCUCUAAAGUUGUAGUAAAGAUUUGCUAUAUUGUACUUUUCUUCUUCUUGACUUUUCUGUCCCCCUUCUCCAUAAACUUUACUCCCACCACUGUCCAAGAGGAAAAAGCUUCACUGACUCCUCAAAAUGUCACAGUUUAUUUGUCUUACUGAGAGUCUGAAGAGGCUUUAUAAAAUAAGGCAGUAUUGUCUCAUCAUGCUCAUUUUAAUUGCAAAAGACUUAAUU